UGGGGAAUAUUGCACAAUGGGGGAAACCCUGAUGCAGCAACGCCGCGUGAGUGAUGACGGUCUUCGGAUUGUAAAGCUCUGUCUUCAGGGACGAUAAUGACGGUACCUGAGGAGGAAGCCACGGCUAACUACGUGCCAGCAGCCGCGGUAAUACGUAGGUGGCAAGCGUUGUCCGGAUUUACUGGGCGUAAAGGGAGCGUAGGUGGAUAUUUAAGUGGGAUGUGAAAUACUCGGGCUUAACCUGGGUGCUGCAUUCCAAACUGGAUAUCUAGAGGGCAGGAGAGGAAAGUAGAAUUCCUAGUGUAGCGGUGAAAUGCGUAGAGAUUAGGAAGAAUACCAGUGGCGAAGGCGACUUUCUGGACUGUAACUGACACUGAGGCUCGAAAGCGUGGGGAGCAAACA
rnacentral:rRNA from 1 species